AAAAUGUAUUCUUUUGUUAUUACUUAUUAGUGAAAUAUGAAAUAGGUAUUGGUUGUCUAGUUAAUUUAUAAUUAUCGGUUAAUCGCAGCUUCGAAUCAUGUCUGCUGUUGGAGCUAUACGUCAACGUUGUAUUGUCAGAACGAAAAAUUGGUGUACUUAGAAGCAAAUCGAAAGCUGCAACGACUUAUUUACUAAGGAGUGACUUAUGUAAGAAGUUGUCAAACUUUAGUAACACGAUAAUUACACAAUAAUUAGCUCAUCAUAUUGAAUCGUACUGGUGCAUUUCACAUGGUCAAUGAUCUCUUUAUUAACUAUUUAUUUAACUAUUCACAUCGCUUGAUUUAAAUGUUCACCCCUGCAUCACCUCAGUGUAUGACAAUAUCAAUUGUACUUGUACCUAUAGGUUUUUUGAAUUUCAAAGAACCACUUCUUGUUAAACAAUGAACUAUUUAUGAAUAAAAUUAUUUGUAAAAUAUGUACAUAUUAACUACUUUUGGUUAUUUCGACUACCUAUCAACGAAUAUCGGAAUAUUUAAUUUUUUUUAAAUUUAAUAGUUACAAUUUAUUUAUUUAAAUAGUUUAAUUGAAUCGGUUAUUACAUUUAAAUUUUAAUUUUAAAACAUGUACACUGGUUUGAAAUACAUUUUUUUUACACAAAACUAUUAAAGCAGCAAAUAUUUCACAAAACAUGGUUACUUGAUUAACAGUAAUACAAUUUUAUAUGGGCAGUUGCCAAUUUCCAGAUCAAACUCAUUAUUUUAAUAAUCAAUGCUGGAUCCCUAUUUUAUUUAUAUUAUUUUCUAUGAUUAAUGUUAUAAUAAUUACACCAAUUAGAUUUCCAGAAUCUCAAGUUUUUAUUUUUUAAAACAUCGUUCCUCUGCUUUUUUUCGUUCUUUUUUUCGUCCUUUGAAUGUUUUCACCUUGCUUGCAUAUAUCACAAAAUAAUGCUAUCUACAAAAUCAAUUUUAAUAACUAUUUCUUAACUAAAAAUUGGGAAGGUUAAACUUGAUUGAACUAUAUAUAUAAUAGUAUUUUUUUAAUAUAUAUAGUUUUGUUUUUUAAAUUAAAUUUUAAAGUAAUUAAAAAGAUAUCAACUUCAUUACAUUUUCAUAUAUUUCACCAAGUGGAAAGAAAAAUGAUUUCCAAUUCAUAAACUGGAUAAGAGAAAAGUACCUAUAAUUAUACAGCUGACUAUAAUAGCAUUUGCUAAUUAAUUAUUAUUAUUAUUAUUGUAAAUCGUUGGUUGUACACUUUUUCUCCGAACUUUAAACAAAUAUUUUUAACCUUUCCAGAAUAAUAAACUAUAGAAUGGCAAUCUUCAAAUUUAUCAAAAAUAAUAAAAUAAAAACAAAAUUAAUAAAAUGAUUGAUACUCAUAAAUAAAUAUAUAAAUAAAAAAUGUAUACAUAAAAAUGAAAAAUUAAUUAAUUAAUACCUGAUGAUGAAUUUUUAAUUUUAAUAAUAAUACUCCAGGCAUAGUCAUUCAUUUAUUUUAUUUUUAUGUAUACAUUUUUUUUUUUCAUGUUUUCAUCACUUGAAUAAUAUAUUUUUAUAUAUCAUACUUUUUGUAUUAUCCAAAAAUGUUUAAUUUAACUCAAAUCACAAAAAUAUUAUGUUUUAAUGUUUAUUAUAGUUAUUUUAAACUGCUAAUUUCUUUUUUCUAGUUACUGAAAAACUUUACAAUGAUCAAAAUCAAAAAAUUAUUGUAAGUUACGGUUCUGGGUGUACUUAAAGACACAUAAAUCCUUUUAUGGUAAGUCGAUAAGCCUCAUAUCAUUGGUGUUGGUGAUAUUAAAACAAUAUUAUUUAUAUUUUUAUUUUGGUCGAGUUUUCCUUGAAAAUAGAGACACUGGUAUUGUAUCUGUUAUAUUACUUUCUGUUUCCAAAUUGCAUGUGGAAAUUAUAAUAUAGACAGAGUUUUGUUGGUGAUUCUUUAGAGACUGAGUCGAGUUGCUUGCGCGAUUUUUAUUUUUUUAAAUUUUAGAUUCUGCAAAACAUUUCUCUCCUAGAAAUACUCUUAAAUUUUGAUUUUACGAUUUCAAAUUUAAAUAAUUUUACUUAGACCAAAUGAUUGAAUUUUUAAUAAAUAAGAUUUACAAAUUUUUUUUAUUUUGUGCAUGCUCAUCUCUCAAUAUUAUUAUUCAAAAAUUUAUAUUCAUUAAUGAUGUUUUUUUUUUUUUUUUGUCGUAGGGUUUUCGAAAUCAAACUAUUGACUGAUCAUUAAAAGUUAUAAAUCAAUAACUAUAUACAAUUAAUUAUAUCUACAGAUUAUAACUAUUCACACGCAACUCGACUUUGUCACAAAAAAUACCACAUAUGCCUUUCAGUAGUCAACUAGCAUUGCUUAUUUUUUUUGGCACGCAAUUCAGAUGCAACCAUUAAUAUAUCUUUCUGAUACAUUUGGGUACUUUUAUCAGCUCCCUCUAAACCAAAAUGCUUAAACUAAAUCUUUUUCCUAAUUAAUUCAUUUUAAUCAGGUUUUAAUCAGGUAAAUAGGUACCUUAAUAGAUUUAUGAAUGUAAAAGACUAGGUUAAAAUGUGUUAAGUGGGUGAUUUUUUUUUUUUUUAUCAAACCAAAAAUUUUCUCAAAGGAUUUUAAGUCAAUUUGAUUUCUGUAUGUUUUUUUUAAAAUCAUGUUGGAAUCGGGUAAGCUUUAUUUUAAAACUAUGUUAAAUUUUUUAUCCAUGUAUAUUAAAUAAGUAUAUACUUAAAUAUACUAUAUAGGAAUUUGUGUUCAAAAAGGGAGGUUCCUAUUUGAAAAACAAAAGUAUACACUUAUUUAAGGUAUAUGAAGUAAGGGUAAAACUUAAACAAUUCCACAAUGAUAAAAAAAUAGAAAACAGACAUCUAAAAUCUUAGAUCACCUUUAAAUUUUCCGAAAAAAUGGUUUAGUUCAUAAUUAAAAACUAUCACUGUAUGUAUAAAUAUAAUUGUUGUUGAGAAUAUGCCUUUAGAAAAUUUUAACUCCUCCUAUUCCCCAGCUCCUGUUUGUAUUUUAUCAAAAAUUUCAAAAACUACUUUACCCCUAUUUUGAUACAAAACUAUUUUGUUCAAAUUCUUAUUAGUUAUUAUAUAAAAAAAAAAAACUCAGAAUAUUGUAACAAGUCAGAUAAGGAAAAGCUUGAAUACUGCUAAUGUGUUUUUUUUUUUUUUUUAGGUAAUGAAGAUUAUUUUUCUGAAACCAUUGCAAAUUCUUAUUUCAACAUCACAUGGCAUUGGCUGUGCAUAUAUAAUAUGGUCUACAAGCAUCAAACAGUUGAGAAUUCAGAUUCCAAAAUAGUGCAUUAAUCUGAAAAUACAAAUGCCAGAAAAUGUUAAUAAAUAAAAACAAAAAACUUUAACUAUUAGUAAUUGUGGAAAAGACUAAAAUAAAAACAGCAAGUGGUUGAUUAUACUUUUUAUUAAUUUUUUUCUAUUUUGAUAAACUUUUGUCAUCCUUUCUAUUUAUUGUAAUUAUAAAUUUACAUACUAGUGUUCCAUAAAGGUCUGACAAAUACAAAAACUUUUAUUGUAAUCAGUAUUUUAUAAGUUUUUUUUUUCUUGUAAUAUUUUUUCAUAAAUUGCACUAUUGUUCCUUUACUUAAUUUUAAUUUGUACAAAAUCUAUGAUAGUAAUUUUAUAAAUAUAUUUUGAAACAAAAAUAUAGUAUUACAAAUAUUUACUAAUGAUAAAUUAUUAAGUUUUUAAACAAAUUAUUAAAGUUUACAAAAAUCAUUCACAAAAUUAUUUUUCGUAGAAAAAUUGGCAAAUUGAUUGAAAUUAAUUAGUGGUGGUAAUGAAAACAAUUUAAGUUAUGAUAAACUUCUAAAAUAUACUUUUAUACUUUUAGUUUUUAAAAAAAUGUAAAAUAGAAGAAUCAGCAUAAAACAAAAAAAAAAAAUCAAACAUUGAAUUAUUAUUCAAUAAGUUGAAGUUUAUUUAAUAAGUUUUAUUUGUCAGAUUUUCUUAAGACACUUGAUUAAUAAUUUAUGUAAAACAUUUAUCAAAGAAAUUAGAAUUGUAUGUAAAGUUCUCCUUAAUUACAAGUAAUUACUAUCAUGUAUUUUAAUUCAUAAUAAAUUGUUAAAAAUCUCAAUUAGUAUAUAAACCUUAUCUGAUCAUACUCUUUUAAAUUGUUUUAUAAUUGUUUAAAAUAUGUAAAUUUUUACCUAACCUAACCUAUGCUACCAGUUAUAAUUAAAUUAUAAUUAACAUCAAAGCUAAUUGAUUAAAAAUUGUAUGAUUUGCAUAGCAUUUUUUUAAUUUCAAGUGAUUAUUCUCACUGAUAAUAUAAUAUGGUAUUUAUUAUUAUAUAUUUACUAUAGUCUUAUAUAAUUAUUAGUUAAGUUAUAAUUUAUAACCCACAAUAAUAUUAAUAAGGAUUGUAAUACUAUAUUUAUGUGAUGUUCAGCAACUAUUUAAUAU